UACGGAGGGUGCGAGCGUUGUCCGGAAUCACUGGGCGUAAAGGGCGCGUAGGUGGCCCGUGGAAGUCUGCGGUGAAAGCCCGGCGCUCAACGCCGGGUCGGCCGUGGAUACUCUCGGGCUUGAGCUUACUAGAGGCAGAUGGAAUUCCAGGUGUAGCGGUGGAAUGCGUAGAGAUCCGGAAGAACACCGGUGGCGAAGGCGGGUCUCUGGACAGUUCCUGACGCUGAGGCACGAAGGCCAGGGGAGCAAACGGG
rnacentral:rRNA from 1 species